UCCAAGGCCUCUAUUCGAUUCUCGGAAAUAUAUUUCAUUCUUUUGUCCUUUCUGUGAGAUCUGCUCGUAGACCUUCUUCCACUCGUGAAAUCGGAAUGGCAAGGCAGGCAAGCGAUAGCGAUUUCAAGCUGUAGCAGAAUAUAUGUGCGCCUGAAUUCAAAUAUUACCGGAAGUCGCCCCUAGCGGAUGACAUCGGACCUAACACCACUUGUCAAAGCUCAAACAGUCGAACAUGCACCAAAAUUGCGUUGACAUUUUCAGAAGUUGACAUAGAAAAACGGUGUUCGUUUCUGAAGGCGGGGUUUUAAACAACGGCCGAUUAGUUGGGAAGAUUUAAAACGGAAUAAUGUUUUUAUGAACAAUUUUUUUAUCUCUCGGUGAUUCUAGAACCUAAAAUACUUCUGGGAAGGAAUGGAUACCAACAAUGGUCAACUAAAAAGAAUACUCAACUCAACAUUGGCCAAUGAAUCAGAGUUUACUGUAAAUACUAAAUUGACUGAAAACUCAAUGUCUAAAGAUGUAAAUUCACCCUGGGAAUCUGUUAUUAUUGCUGCCACUGUUAGUCUUGUUGGUAUGAUUUUGCUGGUUAUGUUGUAUGGGUUUCACCAUUUUUGUAAACGAAAAAGGCAGACAAUGGUGAUGCCUGUAAUAACUCAAAGUGGACUUAUCCCCGACUACUUCACAAGACCAAGAGAACCAGUGGUGUUUGACAAUGAAGUCUUUGGCCAUGCCUUAAUUCAAGAAACAGUUACCUAUUGGCACCGACCACUUCAGCCAGUUAAAACCGAUACAGAUCUAUACCCCAUUGUACUCUAGUGAUUUUUCUUUAACAAAUGAGUGGACUAAAUUGUUUAAGGAUCUUGGUCUCCUCUCUAGUCUGUGGAACACUGAACAUUUAUUGUGAAAAUCUAGAAUACAGCAGUUCUUUUAUA